rnacentral:rRNA from 1 species
GGACUACAGGGGUUUCUAAUCCUGUUUGCUCCCCACGCUUUCGUGCCUCAGUGUCAGUGCUGGUCCAGAUAGUCGCCUUCGCCACUGGUGUUCCUCCCGAUCUCUACGCAUUUCACUGCUACACCGGGAAUUCCACUAUCCUCUACCGCACUCUAGUGAUCCAGUAUCAAAUGCAGUUCCCAGGUUGAGCCCAGGGCUUUCACAUCUGACUUAAACCACCACCUACGCACGCUUUACGCCCAGUAAUUCCGAGUAACGCUUGCACCCUUCGUAUUACCGCGGCUGCUGGCAC